CACCUUCUCCAUGUAUCCUUCCCUGAUCUUCCCUAAUUGUUGUUCCUCUCUUCUUCCUCAAUUUUCCUUUUGUUGGACUUAUUGCAACUGAUUUUCUGCAAUGGAUUUUAUAUUACAGAAAGCCUCCUCUAAAACUGCCAACCUCAGCGUUUCAAGGUGUCUUAAGAACUUCUCUGGUAUUGCAACAUGCUUUUACAAAAUCAGUUCCCUUCACUUUGGAAGCACCAGAGGAGUGAUUCUGAGACAAAGGCAAAAGAGAAAUAAGCCCAGCCCUCAACAACCUUACAUUCUAUUGAAGGAAUCGAAUAUGCCUCCAGAUGAGAGAAGGUGGUCAUUAAAAUGAAAACCAAACUGACAACUUGUAGAUAGAGGACAUAUAGCCUGACUUACUUGACAGAGUCCUACUUUUGGAAGGACGAAAAACAGGUUCAAAUCCCACUUUUGCCACUUAUUAACUAUGUUACUUUGGGUAAAUCAUUUAAUCUGUGCUUUAAUUUCCUAAUCUUCAAAGUGAGAGAGUUGGAUUCUUUGGCCCCUAAAUAUCUUCCAUAUAUACAUCUAUCCGAUUUAGGAUUCUGAGAUUAUCAUACUAUAUCUUCUGUGACAAUGGGGAACAUUUAAGUGAACAGAUCAUCUCUAUUUCACAAUGCACUCAAUAAUAGCACUCAAACGAAUUAUUGGGUAAAGUUAUCUAUGUCUGUGUGUGGGUUGUAGUUUGGUCAAGAAAAGGAAUACCAUCUUUGAGGAGCAUGUACAGGGCUGUAUUUCAUUAUAUAUAUUAAAACAAAUGUUGUGG
rnacentral:lncRNA from 1 species